ensembl:lncRNA
CGUCGAGGCACACGACAAAAAUUGUAUUUACUCGGCAAAGUACUGAAAGCCACGUGACCCAACUUCAGAGGCGAGCUGCCGACUCCUUCUGUCAUUCACCGCCAGUUCCGCCAUCUCCCAUCUGCGGUCAGAAGUCAACGGAACGGCAACCUUGACAUUAAUCCGGCGGACUGAACUUAAGGCAACAACGGCAACCUGCCAGCGCCGGGACGCCGACCGACGGACAUUUCUUUCCUUCCUUUUACUGGAGACAUUGACAGUCUAAUUGUUCCGCUUCAAGUUGAUUAAGAACUCGACUGGACCUCCCCCCCCGCUCAGCCCCCCCAAGAUGGACAGCGAUAGUAAUGCUCUCAACAUGCGUGAGAGCACAGGG